CAUGAAACUGUGUUAUGGAAAGAUAAUUAUGUUGUUCUAAUAUAAUAAACAAAUGACGCUUGGAAUAAAGCUAGCAAGUAAAUGUGUCCUCUAAUUAAAAGUAAGUGAGCAAAAAUGGAUAUUACCCAUGUGACGACACACGCAGCUUUCGUAGUGACAAGAAGAAAGCUUUUUCAUCCACUUUGUUAGAGUCCGUCUUGAAUCUUCAUAAUUUUUGGGGUGUUAUUUUCAUUACUAGUUUCUUUUUUAUUAUUACUUAUAUUGAGUAUAUAUUUUACGCUGUUAAAUGUUGUGAUAGUUAAUUGCAUUUAAACAAGAAAGAGCACUUAAACUGAUGUGGCUUGAUUUGUUAACACAUUCAACACCACACUCAUAGCAGUUAUAAGUUAAAAAAAAAAAGGAAAGAAAAUGAAUGCGCAUGAGUAAGUCGAAUAAGCUUGUAGUGCAUCAUGGGGGAAAAAUAAUGGCGGACGUUGGAGUAAGUGUACUUCGAGUAAAGUUUCUGGAAUUGGUGAGAAAUGUGAAGUGUAUGUAUACUAGAUUUUUAAUUACAUGAAUAGAUAAACUGUUGUUUUCACAUAUAAAGUCAUAAUGAUAUAACAAGUUUUCCAACAGAGAAGAAAAAUUACAAUUCUGAUGUUAUCAGACCACACAAAGAUAUGUAUACAUGGUAUUUUUCAUUAAAGAGUAUUUCACUUUAA